CCUACGGGAGGCAGCAGUGAGGAAUAUUGGUCAAUGGACGAGAGUCUGAACCAGCCAAGUAGCGUGAAGGAUGACUGCCCUAUGGGUUGUAAACUUCUUUUAUAUGGGAAUAAAACGUUCCACGUGUGGGAUUUUGUAUGUACCAUAUGAAUAAGGAUCGGCUAACUCCGUGCCAGCAGCCGCGGUAAUACGGAGGAUCCGAGCGUUAUCCGGAUUUAUUGGGUUUAAAGGGAGCGUAGGUGGAUUGUUAAGUCAGUUGUGAAAGUUUGCGGCUCAACCGUAAAAUUGCAGUUGAAACUGGCAGUCUUGAGUACAGUAGAGGUGGGCGGAAUGCGUGGUGUAGCGGUGAAAUGCUUAGAUAUCACGAAGAACUCCGAUUGCGAAGGCAGUUCACUGGACUGCAACUGACACUGAGGCUCGAAAGUGUGGGUAUCAAACAGGAUUAGAAACCCUAGUAGUC
rnacentral:rRNA from 1 species